rnacentral:rRNA from 1 species
AGUCGAGGGAGAAGCUAUCUUCGGAUAGUGGAGACCGGCAGACGGGUGAGUAACACGUGGGAACAUACCGAGUAGUGGGGGAUAACAGUUGGAAACGACUGCUAAUACCGCAUACGCCCUUCGGGGGAAAGAUUUAUCGCUAUUCGAUUGGCCCGCGUUAGAUUAGCUAGUUGGUAAGGUAACGGCUUACCAAGGCGACGAUCUAUAGCUGGUUUGAGAGGAUGAUCAGCCACACUGGGACUGAGACACGGCCCAGACUCCUACGGGAGGCAGCAGUGGGGAAUAUUGCGCAAUGGAGGAAACUCUGACGCAGCCAUGCCGCGUGAGUGAAGAAGGCCUUAGGGUUGUAAAGCUCUUUCAGACGUGAUGAUGAUGACAGUAGCGUCAAAAGAAGUUCCGGCUAACUUCGUGCCAGCAGCCGCGGUAAUACGAAGGGAACUAGCGUUGUUCGGAUUUACUGGGCGUAAAGAGCAUGUAGGCGGAUUUUGAACAGUGGGGGGGGAAAUCCCCAAAUUUCCUCCUUGGGACGGCCCUUCCAAAUUUUCCCCCUCUAGAGUCCGUAAGGGGGUGGUGGAAUUCCGAGUGUAGAGGUGAAAUUCGUAGAUAUUCGGAGGAACACCAGUG